GGAAGGCCACCGAUGGUGGCGGGGGCACUGGCUGGAGGUCUGACCUUCGGAAGACAACCACAGUCGGCGGCCGGAGGUGAUGGCCACCACAGAGAGAGAGAGAAGCUGAGGAACAAGGCGGAAACAUGGGAGCGAAGCAGGGGAAAGUUCCGCCCAAAUUACGGCGGAAAUCUCGGACAGAGAUGUGGUUUUACGUAGGGGUGGAAAGGGUGAAAAGACAUCGGUGCAGGUGGAAGGUCUGUUGCCCCAAACUCCGGCGACUAUCAUGACUUUUUCGGCGAAAACAGGGGAGUUGGCAGGGUGAUGAGACGUGAAGCGGGGGAGAGAGGAAGC
rnacentral:lncRNA from 1 species